AUUGGCGAGCGCCUAACCUGAUGGUCCACUUUUGCGAGUUAUAAGGAGAAAGUUACAUCAGCAUAUGGGAUUUCAAAAGCUCUUGUCUAGUUGUGAUACCACUGAGAUUUAGGACCCUUUAAGAUCUUCAUCAAUCUCGAUGUGGCACAAGUGGCGUUGUCACUGGUCUAGAAUACUAGGAGCUACUUAUCCCUCAGCCUCACUCUCAGUGCUGCGUACAGGCUACAUGUACGAAAGGGCAGUUUUCCAGAAAUAAUGCCCAAACUCAGAUACCAUCAAUCCUAGCCUAAAUGUCCAAGACGUGAAACACUUCAUGGCGUUAGCAACGAUCCCCUUUGGUCACUUUCAUUGAUGAUCGGACGUCCUAGUUGUCUUGGUUUUUAAGGACACAGCUUGUCUGCAAAUAAAUUUAGAGAAUGUGGAAUGGUUAUGAAGAGCGAUAUACUGAAUGUAAGAGGAAUGCAAACCAAUGAUGUACUCGAGUCUUUUGGAUAUGGAGGAUGUUUGCAAUUCAUAGGUCACAGAUAUGAGUCGGGUGUGAUUGCAUUUAGUACGUUUUAUAUUUUCACUUUUAUUGCAAUAGCUUACGAGAAAGCUGGAGUUCAAGAUGAUUAUUCAUAAUUCUAUUAAUGUACAAUUGAAUAAGAUGAAUUGUGGUUCUGUUUGAAAAGUCUGUCUGCCUCCACAGUUCUUAUAAUAAUUAUUUUAAAAAUUGAAAACGGAAUAUGCAGAUGCGUUAUCCACAUUUUAAAUUCACUCACAAAAUAUUGGUAUCACCACCACUUAUGGUCGUCUGUGUUUUAUUUCAAUCUUAGUGAUGUAGUCAUUUUUUCAAAUUUGUGCUGUUGAUGAUGUGGAGUUGUUCGUCAGUAUAGCGCUUGAGAAGAUCAUAAUCCGCACACUAAUCUCAACUAACCCUCACAUCUUUGUAAAAUCUGACUUCGUGUAAAUGAUUUUACAUGAAGAGGUUUUACAUUGAAAGCUUGUGCAAAAUCUAUAAUGAAAUAUUUUACGUUUGAGAAAAUAUUUCAUUAUAUUUUCUGUACAUUCUGCUCCUCGUGGGGGAUGGCUGGGUGCACACAGUCAUCUCUCAAGAUAGAGGAUCGCACUUUACUAAUAUCACUUAUAUUAUGAUUUUCUCCAGUGUUAUAGUUGACAAAUAAAUCUAAUUCAUCACAUAUGCACCUUUUUCUCAGGAUCGAAAAAUUCAUAUUGAAAUUUACAUGGACGGCCAUAAAGUGUAAUGUGAGAUAUGAAAUAUUUCGAAGCAAGCUUGCUUAACUUAUUACUUGUGUCAUACAGGCACAUGAAGUUGAGAUUGAAGGGCAAAAUCACAUUUGAGAAACUUAUUUUAAACCGAGUUAUGUCAAAGUUUAGUUUAAAUAAUUGAGGUGUCUUGGUAAUAAUAAUAUUACCUGAACUUUUUAUAUAUUUUAUCAGUAGAAAGAACUAUAUUCAAGUUUUGAUGGAUGCUUUCAGUUGUAAGUGUUGAGUCACUUUAUUUAUGACUUCAUCCCCUUAGAUAAAGUUAAAAUUAGUCUCGGUUAAAUUGUGUAAAGACUCUAGUGAAUGUGUCUUUAUUGUCUUCAGUACCUCUUUCUGUAGAAAUUAUUUUGGCAAAUUGUGCUUCAUCUUGUGUACCAGUAUAGUGUAUAUAGAGAAUAGUUUGUAGUCAUGAGAGAAAAUUUAUUCAGCUGCACCAUGCUGUCUAAAACGGGACGAUAUUCUUGAACUGCAAGGCGCCGUGCCAAUAGAAAAAAAAAAACUGAAGUUUUCUUUUUAUAAAGACUGAAAAAUCCGGGCGUGGGCACUUUCCCGGCAUUC